rnacentral:rRNA from 1 species
GAUGAACGCUGGCGGCGUGCCUAAUACAUGCAAGUCGAGCGAACAGAUGAGGAGCUUGCUCCUCUGACGUUAGCGGCAGACGGGUGAGUAACACGUGGAUAACCUACCUAUAAGACUGGGAUAACUUCGGGAAACCGGAGCUAAUACCGGAUAAUAUAUUGAACCGCAUGGUUCAAUAGUGAAAGACGGUUUUGCUGUCACUUAUAGAUGGAUCCGCGCCGCAUUAGCUAGUUGGUAAGGUAACGGCUUACCAAGGCAACGAUGCGUAGCCGACCUGAGAGGGUGAUCGGCCACACUGGAACUGAGACACGGUCCAGACUCCUACGGGAGGCAGCAGUAGGGAAUCUUCCGCGAUGGGCGAAAGCCUGACGGAGCAACGCCGCGUGAGUGAUGAAGGUCUUCGGAUCGUAAAACUCUGUUAUUAGGGAAGAACAAAUGUGUAAGUAACUAUGCACGUCUUGACGGUACCUAAUCAGAAAGCCACGGCUAACUACGUG